GACGAACGCUGGCGGCGUGCUUAACACAUGCAAGUCGAACGGAAAGGCCCUGCGUUUGUGGGGUGCUCGAGUGGCGAACGGGUGAGUAACACGUGAGUAACCUGCCCUUGACUUUGGGGUAACUUCAGGAAACUGGGGCUAAUACCGGAUAGGAGCUCCUGCUGCAUGGGGGGGGUUGGAAAGUGUCGGCGGUUGGGGCUGGACUCGCUGCUUAUCCGCUAGUUUGUGGGGUAGUUGCUUACCAAGGCUUUGACGGGUAGCCGGCCUGAGCGCGUGACCGGCCACCUUGCGCCUGCGAUACGCCGCAGACUCCUACGGUAGGCAGCAGUGGGGAAUCUUGCACAAUGGCGGGACGCCUGAUGCAGCAACGCCGCGUGCGUGAUGCCGUCCUUCGGGUUGUGAACCGCUUUCUCCUGUGCCGAAGCGUGAGUGACGGUAAUGAGUAAAAAAGCACCGGCUAACUACGUG
rnacentral:rRNA from 1 species